rnacentral:misc_RNA from 1 species
UUGAAUGGUCUUUGACCUUCUACCCUUAAAACAUGUGGAAGCCAAUAUCGUGCUUCGGCCUCCCUUUGGGGUGGCCGCUUUUAUGCAGAAACUCAUAUGUCGUCUGAAUGAAAACAUUACAAUCA